CACAUAGAAACAACAGACACUGGACAAAACAUGUUAAAGUUGCAUGUGUUUACAGUUUUAUUUUCACAUUUUCAUUGGUUUUUACAGUAAAUGUUGCGUACAGCCUUUUUAGGUGAAUCUAUUAUGGGAUUGUGUUUAUCAGCAGACCACCAGAAGCCAAAGGGAAAAAGGGAAGUGGAAAGUAGUUUUGGCUUUUGUGGUUUUGCUUCUGUAGUCUGAGUUUUGGUUAGUUGUUUCGAGGUCACUGCAUUUCUGCAGCACUGGCUCUGCACACGUCACCCCCUGCUGGCCCGGCAUGGGAACACGACGCAUCGGCCUUGUUCCUGCGGUAGGCAGCACCACUGUUGCGUUACUCCCUAGUGAAGGCCGCACCCGAUGUGUAGUUUUCUCAUGACCGGACGGUCGCGGGGGAGGCGCGACCCGCCCUUAGUCUAGCCCAGGAUUUCUUCUCCUCCUCCUCCUCCUCCUCCUCCUCCUCCUCACUGUGGGAAGAGGGAUUGUGUUCAGUACUACAUUUCAUAAACCUUCACCACAACAAAACCUUCACAUUUGCUCAUAAACCUUUAUCAAACAGUACUUUAUCACUGGUGAUGCAAGGGAGUGGCAGAGAAAACAGCAGCAGUAGAGGUCUUGAUACGUAUCAUUGAACGUGUCCCAAUACAGACUUAUUGACUUAUUGACAGUUCUGAGUAGUUGUGAGACAUUUCUUGAUUUACAGCAAUAAAAAGGAAGUCUACUUGUCUCCUUUUUUUACAGAUACAUUAUCUAGGACCUGACAUCUCUGAACAGUAAUAUAUUAUUUUACAGAGAUACUUCAAACAGAGAUAUUUACAUGAUUCAUAGCAAGCAGACAGAAUGGGACUCCAUGGUGACCUGUUAAAGGGUUAUGUUCACCAGCCCUGAAACACAAGGAAUGACAGACUUAGAUGUGACGCAGUCAAUAAUUACAAAACAUGGUCACUUCCCUUUUUUCAGACUCUUUUUCUGAUUCUGAAUUCAAUGUAUUACAUGGUUUAUCAAUAAUUCAAAAGCUAUUCAUUGAAUUAUUUUUCAUAUUUUCUCAAUAAAUCUGCUACUCUCUGAC
ensembl:lncRNA